ensembl:lncRNA
CGCUCCUUCUUGGAGCGGUCAAUCCCAAUUCUAUCCUCGAGACAAAAGCUCUGGAUUCAUGUUCAGAUGAUACCUGAUGAACUACCCUCUUAGUGAGGGGGAAAAAGGCUUCGUAAAAGGUUCUUCAGAGGGUUACUUGGUAAUUCAGGUUUCUUAGCUUGGAAAGAAGGUCCUAUUUGGGGACUUUUCUGAUAUUCUGUUAAUCUUCUACACAGAACCUAUAAGAGUUCUUCCCGAGGGAUAAACUAAGAAACCUUAAGGGUUCUGCAAGGGUUCCUUCUCCGUCACAGUGUUGCCCCCAUCAGAUGGUUACCUUUGAGAGUCCCCUAAAGCUCAUUAUUCUCGAUAAUUAAGGCUUCUUAGCUUGUGAAGAGGGUCCGAUUUUGGGGUCAUCUCUGAUAGAAAAUGGAGAACCCUUAAGGGUUCUUAGUUUGUCCCUCGGGAGCAACUCAUAGGUUCGGUGGAGAAGAUUUCAAAAGGAUAUUUCUCUAAGCGUGUACCUAUGAGUGGCUGCCAGGGUUCCACCAGGGUUUACCAGUGUUGCCCCAUCAGAUGGUUACCUGUCGCAAGUCCCCUAGAGCUCCUUAUUCUCGAUAAUUAAGGCUUCUUAGCUUGCUUAAAAGGUUCCACUUGGAACUCCUUGUGACGGGGAAACUGUUUUCUCACGAGGAAUAUCUGACAAACCCUUAAAAGUCCGAAAGUUUCUUAGAGUGUACCUGAGUGCCAUCUGUCACAAUGCUACCUCAUGAGAUGUUUGCCUUUGAAGGUCUCCUGAAGGUCUGUAUUUUUUGUCGUUAAGGAUUCUCAGCUCGCCGAAAAGGUUCUACUUGAAACCCCUUUUGAGAGGGACAACCAAAUAACCCUUAAAGGUCCUACAAUUCUGUUUUUUGUUUUGCUUAGCUAUCUCAAGGCCUGUCACGGUUCCUUUUCAAGAUGGGUACCUUUGAAAAUCUAAGGUUCUCAUUUCGCACACAUCGCAUGGGUCCUAUAAAUAAAGACUUCAAAGAAAGUUUAAAAACCAUCGCUACCAUACAAUCAGUCCUUCUCUGACGCAUUGUGAUGAUAUCGUGAAAGCGUGAUAAAAUGUUCAUCAUCAUGUAAUAUCGGCACACACCUAUCUCCAGGACAUUGGGGGGGGGGGGGGGGGGGGGGAUAGAUUGCUUUGUUUUUUUGGUUUUUUUUUUCUUCCCAAGAACAUCUUGACUAGCACAGAUUCCUCCACAAUCUUGUAGUGUGUCCGUUUGGUCCGGUUCAGUCCAUCUGAGUGCUUUGCAUUCUGGUUUGGUGAAGAAAAAAAAAGGUGAAGAUCCAAGACUCCGAGGGACUCAUCUUCCAACAUUUCUCUGCAGGUUUUUUUUUUUUUUUUUUUUUUUUUUUUUUAAAGGUCCUGGAAAACCUCACAGACGUCCCUACAGGGCGACGCUCGAAACCCGGCGACGUAACGUUUCUCGCUAGUUUGGAUCGAUGAAACGUUACAAAAAUGUUAAGUUCUUGGUGUGAAAGCAGGAGAGCCCAAACCUCAGCACGAAGUUACACCACAUUCCCAAAGUGAGGUUAGCUAAAGAGAGGAAGGGGAGGAAAGAAAAACAAAAGAGAGAAAGAGAGAGACAGAGAGUUAGUCAUUAUUGUGCCAAUAAUGAUGAUCUUCAACGUACUGACCUGGAAAGUAAAGAAGCACACGUGACACGGAUGCGAUAAAAUGAGCCUUGUGCCACUCCUCGUCCUUAUACGACGUCACAGAAACGUUCAUUAUUUUUGCUUCAGCCCGAUUGUAACACGCUACUUUUUAGCAUUUCAAUAGUAGGCGGUACUCCGGGUGCUUCCGACGGUGUGGACCACAUCCGUGGUCACGGAGUAGCGCAGAGCUGAAAUAAACUCUUACAGCUCAAGGAGCUGCAGUAUGAUAGGAGCUGAACCAAAACUUCUCCUUACAGAAAGGCGGCAAAUUAGCAUCAUGAGCAAAUGAAGCAAGUCCGGGAAAAUAAACACAUCCGGGACGUAAACGCUUAGCACAGAAAGCUUUACAGCAAGGAUCAGAAUUUAAACAAUAUUGAAAAUAUUCAGCGGAUUACCAUUAAGCACGACAGCGUGCUACUUAACGUUAGCCUAGCAUGUCACCACACAACGUUAGCCUAAAGUUACGUUGCUAAUUUGCUGCAUUUCUGUACCGAACGACGUAAAACACCGUUUCUAUUGUGUCGGCGUU